ACGUGACCUCAGCUUAGGCGAGGCUACCCACUGAGCUUAAGCAUAUCAGUAACCAGAGGAAAAGAAACUAAUAAGGAUUGCCCUA
rnacentral:rRNA from 1 species